ensembl:lncRNA LINC02622 long intergenic non-protein coding RNA 2622
AUGAAGAAGUGGGAUUCAACAGAGAGAAAUGUGAAGUCUGCCAGCUAGCCCUGAGAAGCAGGCAUGACAAGAGAGGAUGCCCGUGUUACAGAUGAGAAAAACAGAGGCCCUGGGAGGAAGCUUGCCUAAUGCCACUCAGGAGGUAGAGGCAAAGCUGGGAAAGGCCCUGGGUCCCCAGACUGCCCCUCUGGAACUCCACAUGCAGCCACCUGGCUGUCCUGCCCGGGAUGCCAUCCGCAGGCUAGGCUGGCGCUCAUGCCCAUGCCCUGCUGUCCACUGACACCCCGCAGAGCUUAACACCCCGCUGAGCCUGCCCUGCAGCCCUUGCCAAGUCUGUCCGAGUGGCCUCAGUCAUUGGCAAGUCACAUUGCUGACAUCGCAACUGCAUAAAAUUAAUUUAUUUAGUUAA